CCUACGGGAGGCAGCAGUCGAGAAUCAUUCACAAUGGGGGAAACCCUGAUGCUGCGACGCCGCGUGGGGGAAUGAAGGUCUUCGGAUUGUAAACCCCUGUCAUGUGGGAGCAAAUUAAAAAGAUAGUACCACAAGAGGAAGAGACGGCUAACUCUGUGCCAGCAGCCGCGGUAAUACAGAGGUCUCAAGCGUUGUUCGGAAUCACUGGGCGUAAAGCGUGCGUAGGCUGUUUCGUAAGUCGUGUGUGAAAGGCGCGGGCUCAACCCGCGGACGGCACAUGAUACUGCGAGACUAGAGUGAUGGAGAGGGAACCGGAAUUCUCGGUGUAGCAGUGAAAUGCGUAGAUAUCGAGAGGAACACUCGUGGCGAAGGCGGGUUCCUGGACAUUAACUGACGCUGAGGCACGAAGGCGAGGGGAGCGAAAGGGAUUAGAUACCCUGGUAGUC
rnacentral:rRNA from 1 species